GUCAUUUCAGUUGUGACAUCAAACAACUAUAUAGACCAGUUAAGGAGCCCAAGAAAAGGGGAGAACAUAUAGAGAGUCGCUCGCUGAAGGUGGAACAGUCUCUUGUCGCUCUCGCGUCUCUCCCAGAGCAGUCACAGCCGGUGCCCCAAGGAACAUGGACCAUAGAGCUCAUUGAUAGAGCACCCAUCGCUGCUACAUAUUCUCAGUGUUGGUGCUGAGCUCAGCGAGACAUGGGUGGCUGUUUGGGUCAUCAUCAUAUGCACCACCCGCACCAUCAUGUCCACCCUGCGCACCAAGCUGCUCUAGUCCAUGCUCUUAAUCACCCACACGAUCAUGGUCACCUCGGGCUCCAACUUGGACUCCACGGGCAACAUCUUGGUCACCACGGGCACCAUCUUGGUCACCACGGACACCAUCUUGGUCACCACGGGCACCAUUUUGGUCACCACGGACACCAUUUUGGUCACCAUGGGGGCAAUUUCGGUCACCACGGGCGCAUUGGUGGUCGCCGCGGGCAUCGUUAAACCUCCAGACAAGCAGGAGGAAGAAGAAUUCCUGUUUAAGAAGCAAGAUAUAUCCCCCGGUGAUCAAGUGACUGACAUUCUAUUCUUCCUGCUGGAGGGGGGGCGCUUGACCCCCAGGCAGAAAACCUAUAAUGCAGCAAAUCGUUACUGAUCUCUUAGUUUGGACCGGCCUCCCAGCCUGUUCUCUUUCCAGCGCUCCCUGUUCCAAGGGAAGGUCCUCUGUUUGCUCUUAUGUGUUUGGAAUCUGAGCCCCCCAGCCUACAGUCUUUCCUGGAGUUCCCCCCAUUUUCAGAUCAUGUGCUCCCAUGAGUUUGGCAUUAUUUGCCCUGUAUGGAUCCUGUGUAUCCAGGAGAGGGGUUCUGCCCAUGGCCCAGCCAACUUGGCAUCUAUCCCUGUAUCUAUGCACUGGGCACCCCCAGCCCUUCUCCCACCUGUUGGGCUCACAGCUCCACAUGAGUAGUUGAGAGGAAGGCUUGAUUCAGGAUCUAUAAAGUGCCCAAUGGAGUAUUGGCCGGGAGGUGGCUGUAGGCAAUAGAGAGAGGAGAGGACAAAAGAGAGAGGACAGUGGGAGAAGGGGAGGCACAGGGAGAGCCGGACAGACAUUGGGGUACAGAGGAAAGGGGGAGAUGGGAAAGUGGGGGACAGAUGAAGGUGCUGAUCUCUACUGGAGCUGUAACACUGGGCCUUUGGGGGUGACUGGGCUGAAUUAGCUCCCUUCAUGCUGAGACCUGGGGGCUCAUUUAUGAACACAAGGGCAGACAGCCAAGUGCCCAGUUGGACACAAAAUUGAGGAUUCCCUGCUUUGUGGGUAAAUAUCAUGGUGACUUGCACCCCAGAAUGGCACUUUGCCCAUUGCCCCUGGUCCCUCAGAUUUGGCCGGCCUGGCAAUAUAUUUAUUUGGUAUCAAAGGGCAGAAAGCAAUGGUGAAGCUGCUGUAGGUCCUGGGUUCAAUAUUAGCAUUUAUUUUGCCAUUAUUGUAUUUAACUGGUGCUACUUGUAUGUCUGUAACUACCAUUUGUACUUAAUGGGGGUAUAAUAGUGGCAUUAUUACCUGCUGUGAGCACUGUCAGUAAUACGUGGGCAUAUUGGCAUAGCACCUACCGGCUGCCAGUAAUACAUGGGCAUAUUGGCAUAGCAUCUACCGGCUGCCAGUAAUACAUGGGCAUAUUGUCAUAGCGCCUACCGGCUGCCAGUAAUACAUGGGCAUCUUGGCAUAGCACCUACCGGCUGCCAGUAAUACAUGGGCAUAUUGGCAUAGUGCCUACCGGCUGCCAGUAAUACAUGGGCAUAUUGGCAUAGCACCUACCGGCUGCCAGUAAUACAUGGGCAUAUUGGCAUAGCGCCUACCGGCUGCCAGUAAUACAUGGGCAUAUUGGCAUAGCGCCUACCGGCUGCCAGUAAUACAUGGGCAUAUUGGCAUAGCGCCUACCAGCUGCCAGUAAUACAUGGGCAUAUUGGCAGAGCGCCUACCGGCUGCCAGUAAUACAUGGGCAUCUUGGCAUAGUGCCUAAUGGCUGCCAGUAACACAUGGGCAUAUUGGCAUAGCGCCUACCGGCUGCCAGUAAUACAUGGGCAUAUUGGCAUAGCACCUACCGGCUGCCAGUAAUACAUGGGCAUAUUGGCAUAGCGCCUACCGGCUGCCAGUAAUACAUGGGCAUAUUGGCAUAGCGCCUACCGGCUGCCAGUAAUACAUGGGCAUAUUGGCAUAGCGCCUACCGGCUGCCAGUAAUACAUGGGCAUAUUGGCAUAGCACCUACCGGCUGCCAGUAAUACAUGGGCAUAUUGGCAUAGCGCCUACCGGCUGCCAGUAAUACAUGGGCAUAUUGGCAUAGCGCCUACCGGCUGCCAGUAAUACAUGGGCAUAUUGGCAUAGCGCCUACCGGCUGCCAGUAAUACAUGGGCAUAUUGGCAUAGCACCUACCGGCUGCCAGUAAUACAUGGGCAUAUUGGCAAACCCUCUCCAUGGGCACGGAUACAUUUACUUACUUCUAAAAAUCUAAAGCAGCUCAAACUUGAGUUAUAAUGGGGGGGGGGAAUAUAUAUAUAUAUAUAUUUAUCUUCCCAUCCUGAACUUGCCCUUGGAAAGCAAAUACAAUGAAAUAAUCCUUCCACUGUGUUUGACUCAAUAUAAAGGAAUGAUUUUUAGUUGACACUAAUUAACUGUGACUGAAAUAAUGAUAAUUAGAGUUGCCCAGACGGGUUCAGCAGGCCCUGUACUUCCCCAUAGCAACUAAUCAGAUCUGUGCUUCAAAACGUAGUGCUGAUUGGUUGCUAUGGAGCAAGGGUGCAAUUAAGCUCGUUCAUUCGUGAAUGAAGCCCAGGACUGUAAUUAGCUAAUGGCUUUAGUUGUCAUUACCUUUUAUUACCUAUAUUACCUUUAUUCUUACGAUAAAAUGUGAAUAUUCUGUUAAAUAAAAGUAAAGGGGAUAAAACCCUUUGUACCAAUAAAGAACCAUGUGACCUCA